UCGGAUCUCUUAGAACCCAGAAGCAGGUAGGC
rnacentral:piRNA from 1 species